rnacentral:rRNA from 1 species
UUCGUAGGCGGUGUGGCAAGUUGGGAGUGAAAUCUCUGGGCUUAACUCAGGGGCUGCUUCCGAAACUGCUGUGCUAGAGUGUGGGAGAGGCGCGUGGAAUUGCAGGUGUAGCGGUGAAAUGCGUAGAUAUCUGCAGGAACACCCGUGGCGAAAGCGGCGCGCUGGACCACUACUGACGCUGAGGAACGAAAGCUAGGGGAGCAAACA